AUAUAUAGGCUGCCAUUAACUUGUAUGAAGACCUGAAUGCAGUGUCAGAGAAGGGCCGAUGUGAAGUGGACUAGCUCAAAUCACAGCUGCAAGAGCCAAAUGCAAAUACUUAAACACUCCUUCCCAGAGGAUGAAGGUUCCUAUUUAUGAAAAUCUUGGAAAUUCAUCUGUCUUCAGGAAGAUGGGGAAAGGCUCUAUGUCUUCCCUCACAGAAUGCUUCAUCAGCUCCAAGCUUCUCAUGACACCUGCUUCAAUUUGUGAGAAAACUGCUAUCAACAUGGACAUGAAAGAUCACUUCCAUUUCUACUGGACAUCUCACAUUACUUACUAGCCCUUUAGAGGCGAGUUAAGGACAAUUUUAGUGUCCUGCUUCUCUGAAGGAAACAUGUGCCUGGGUAUAUUAUCAGAGCAUUGUAAAGGAAGAGCAUUUCUCUGCGAACUCAUGGAAAAACAGUGGGGUUUUUUUUCUUGGCCAGAUUCCCCAAAGAGAAUUGAAUUUCAAGGUAUGACUUUUUCUUUGUUUAUAUAUUUAUUCUAUCAUAUUAGAAUGUAUUGUUGUAAUGGGGUUAAGGGUAUUAUAAAUUUGAAAUUAUUUUUCAAUACAGAUAUUUUGGAUCAAACCUACUACUACAUAAGCAUUCCAAGAACUCAUUGCUGGAAUGUUUCUGGAUGCACUCAGACUAUCUUGUUUUAGUCUCAGCAAAUUCAAUGCAUUUUAUAUUGUUUUAAAUUACAUGUCCAAUGGUCAUUGGGAAAAAAGAUAUUAAACGUGGAUAGAGAAACCUGAUUUUUUUUUUCUUAGUUUCUAUUAUGGCUUGCAGUGUUUGGUUAGAAUGUUUCUAAUGCAAGCAUAAAACAUGUCUGUAUUUAUUCACCUGAUCCUUUCUACGGAAUGUCCAAGUGAGCGGUGGGAACUGACACAGAAAAUGACAUUUUUUCUUACCAGGCCAUCAGGUGGGUAAUGGCAUAUUUUCCUUACCUUUCAAACUUAUAAAAUUCUCAGUUUUCUUAACUACUGGCAGGUCUGAGCUAUUGCCUUCAUUCUGUGCAUCUUCAGACUAACUGGGAAAGAUGACCUUGACCUUCUCUUUGAAAUAUUUCCAGAACUGCCUUGACUGAGAUGUCAAAUCAAGGAACCCUUCUGAGGAAAAUUUUCAAUUGAGUGAGCAAAUUAAAUAGUAUGCAGUGCAUAUUUAUAAGCUGG
rnacentral:lncRNA from 1 species